GACGAACGCUGGCGGCGUGCUUAACACAUGCAAGUCGAACGAUGAAGCCGGAGCUUGCUCUGGUGGAUUAGUGGCGAACGGGUGAGUAACACGUGAGUAACCUGCCCUUGACUCUGGGAUAAGCGUUGGAAACGACGUCUAAUACCGGAUACGAGCUAGGACCGCAUGGUCACUAGCUGGAAAGAAUUUCGGUCAAGGAUGGACUCGCGGCCUAUCAGUUAGUUGGUGAGGUAACGGCUCACCAAGACGACGACGGGUAGCCGGCCUGAGAGGGGGGCCGGCCACACUGGGAGUGAGACACGGCCCAGACUCCUACGGGAGGCAGCAGUGGGGAAUAUUGCACAAUGGGCGCAAGCCUGAUGCAGCAACGCCGCGUGGGGGACGACGGCCUUCGGGUUGUAAACCUCUUUUAGCAGGGAAGAAGCGCAAGUGACGGUACCUGCAGAAAAAGCACCGGCUAACUACGUGCCAGCCGCCGCGGUAA
rnacentral:rRNA from 1 species